rnacentral:rRNA from 1 species
AGUGAACGCUGGCGGUAGGCCUAACACAUGCCAGUCGAACGGCAGCACAGUAAGAGCUUGCUCUUACGGGUGGCGAGUGGCGGACGGGUGAGGAAUACAUCGGAAUCUACUUUUUCGUGGGGGACAACGUAGGGAAACUUACGCUAAUACCGCAUACGACCUACGGGUGAAAGCAGGGGAUCUUCGGACCUUGCGCGAUUGAAUGAGCCGAUGUCGGAUUAGCUAGUUGGCGGGGUAAAGGCCCACCAAGGCGACGAUCCGUAGCUGGUCUGAGAGGAUGAUCAGCCACACUGGAACUGAGACACGGUCCAGACUCCUACGGGAGGCAGCAGUGGGGAAUAUUGGACAAUGGGCGCAAGCCUGAUCCAGCCAUACCGCGUGGGUGAAGAAGGCCUUCGGGUUGUAAAGCCCUUUUGUUGGGAAAGAAAAGCAGCAGGUUAAUACCCCGCUGUUCUGACGGUACCCAAAGAAUAAGCACCGGCUAACUUCGUG